rnacentral:lncRNA from 1 species
AAUUUUAAAAUUCGUUUGUCAGUUUUUGGGGUUUUGAUUAGAAUUGUUGAAUGUAGGUGUAAAUCUAGGGAGAAAUUACAUCUUAACAAUAAUUACGUCUUCCAGUUCAUGAAUAUACAUGUCUGUAUUUAUUUAGAUUGUUAAUUUCUUUAAUUAUUGUUUUACAUUUUUCAGUGAGUCUUGUCAGAAGUUGGCCUUGAUUUGAAUUUUUUAUUGUUGUUGCUGUGAUUCCCCUUAGUGCACCACAGAUUUCAAAUAUCUCUAAUGUUACUCUCUCUUUGUGGUGAGGAGUAGUUUUCCAAAAGGACUUUCUCAGUAUUUGCCCCACCCUCAGAUUUAGAUCUUCUUUUUGUGCCUGUACCACAGAGACAACUUCUUUUUUGUCUGUCUCCCAAAUUUUGCACUGUUGGUGGGAAUGUAAAUUAGUUUUGUGGUUGAACUUGAUUGCUGUUACUUUUUACUUGAUGCUUUUGAGUACUUUGCUCAAGCUGGACCUUUGUCCUUUGAAGGAUCUCCUCCUAAUGCCAUCUAAGCUUGAGAAACAAACAUAUAUUGGAUCCACUUGCAAAUGGUAAAAAACUUCAGUGAGUAGGAAAGCAUAGGCUUCUCUUUCUUUAGAGGUAACCUGUCCACUGGAGAGUCUACAAGUGUUUGCAAGCAGACUGUCCUCUCCAGUUCAUCCUCUGCAGCUGCUCCUGAACCAAAAUAAGUAACAGGCUAUCCGGUAUGAGUUGUACUCUACAUAGAGUAGCACACAUAAAGACCCAUGGGAGGGCAGGGUGAGAGGCUGAGGGGGCGGAGGGAGGAAAGAAAGGCUAGGUAUGAUUAUGUCACCAGGUAUCCUUGGUAGACAGAAAAUAUCUUAUACAUUCUGCUUGAGUGUGGUGGCACACGGAGAAAAAAACGUGUCCUACUUCUGUCAGCAUCAACAGCAUGGGAACAGGACAUCUCUGUGCCUC